GGGCCUAUAGCUCAGUCGGUUAGAGCGCUGACCUGAUAAGUCAGAGGUCACUGGUUCAAGUCCAGUUAGGCCCA
rnacentral:tRNA from 1 species